CCCGGCCUAUCAGCUUGUUGGUGGGGUCACGGCCUACCAAGGCGACGACUGGUAGCCGGCCUGAGAGGGUGACCGGCCACACUGGGACUGAGACACGGCCCAUACUCCUACGGGAGGUGCAUUGGGGAAUAUUGCACAAUGGGCGCAAGCCUGAUGCAGCGACGCCGCGUGAGGGAUGACGGCCUUCGGGUUGUAAACCUCUUUCAGUAGGGAAGAAGCUAGAGUGACGGUACCUGCAGAAGAGGCGCCGGCUAACUACGUGCCAGCAUCCGCGGAAAUACUUAGGGCGCAAGCGUUGUCCGGAAUUAUUGGGCGUAAAGAGCUCGUAAGCGGUUUGUCCCGUCUGCUGUGAAAGCCCGGGGCUCAUCCCCGGGUCUGCUUUGGGUACGGUUAGACUAGAGUGCAAUAUGGGAGACUGGAAUUCCUGGUGUAUCGGUGAAAUGCCCACAUAUCAUGAGGAACACCGAUGGUUAAUGCAGGUCUCUGGGCUGUUACUGACGCUGAGGAGCGAAAGCAUGGGGAGCGAACAGGAUUAGAUACCCUGGUAGUCCAUGCCGUAAACGUUGGGCACUAGGUGUGGGGGACAUUCCACGUUUUCCGCGCCGUAGCUAACGCAUUAAGUGUCCCGCCUGGGGAGUACGG
rnacentral:rRNA from 1 species